UAGAGCGGCGCACGGGUGAGUAACGCGUGGGUAACCUGCCCCCGGGCGGGGGAUAACUACUCGAAAGGGUGGCUAAUACCGCAUGAGACCACGGGGUCUUCGGGCCCCGAGGCCAAAGGCGGCGCCGGCUUGCCGGCGCUGUCACCUGGGGAUGGGCCCGCGUACGAUUAGCUUGUUGGCGGGGUAACGGCCCACCAAGGCUACGAUCGUUAGCUGGUCUGAGAGGAUGGCCAGCCACACUGGAACUGAAACACGGCCCAGACUCCUACGGGAGGCAGCAGUGAGGAAUAUUGCGCAAUGGGGGAAACCCUGACGCAGCAACGCCGCGUGGGUGAAGAAGGCCUUCGGGUCGUAAAGCCCUUUCGGACGGGACGAACGCUUCGCGAGGACAAUCCGCGAAGCCUGACGGUACCGUAAGAAGAAGCACCGGCUAACUCCGUGCCAGCAGCCGCGGUAAUACGGAGGGUGCAAGCGUUGUUCGAAAUUACUGGGCGUAAAGCGCGUGUAGGCGGCCCUGUAAGUCAGAUGUGAAAGCCCUCGGCUUAACCGGGGAAGCGCAUCUGAAACUGCUUGGCUUGAGUACCGGAGAGGGAGGCGGAAUUCCCAGUGUAGAGGUGAAAUUCGUAGAUAUUGGGAGGAACACCGGUGGCGAAAGCGGCCUCCUGGACGGAUACUGACGCUGAGACGCGAAAGCGUGGGGAGCAAACAGGAUUAGAUACCCUGGUAGUCCACGCGGUAAACGAUGGGCACUAGGUGUGGGGGGUAUCCACUCCUCCUGUGCCGAAGCUAACGCAUUAAGUGCCCCGCCUGGGGAGUACGGCCGCAAGGU
rnacentral:rRNA from 1 species